UGCUCGAGCCAUGGUUUCCUGAAACACCAACAGUGUUCGGGAACGCCAUGUCAUGCUGCACCGACGGACAAGCAGCCUCCCGCACUGACUGAUUGCGGCCAGGUUGACUGCUCGAGCCAUGGUUCCCUGAAACACCAACAGUGUUCGGGAACGCCAUGUCAUGCUGCACCGACGGACAAGCAGCCUCCCGCACUGACUGAUUGCGGCCAGGUUGACUGCUCGAGCCGUGAUUCCCUGAAAUACCAACAGUGUUCGGGAACGCC